GUGCUCACUUCGGCAGCACAUAUACUAAAGUUGGAAUGAUACAGUGAAGAUUAGCAUGUCCCUUAUGCAAGCAUGACAUGCAAAUUCGUGAAGCAUUCCAUAUUAUU